UGACCAAAAGUUAAUUUGGUGGGGGAAGGUUGUAUUAAAUAACCUUUACCAAGUUGGGCUGUUUGGGAGAGUAAACAAGACCACACUCCACAGUGGGCUAUACCACUUAGUAUAGUUCACUACUAUUUUGUGGCCUACAUU